ACAAAUGGAACCAUGUCGAUUUGCAUAACAGAAAAAAGGAAUAGCAAAUUUAAGUCUCAAGAAGUAAACAAGCUUUCAUUAACUUUAUGAAACCAGAGAAGGUAACACACUUCACAUAUCGUAGCUAUUUUGCCAACAAAGUUCAGAAAAUAUAUGCUGCAUGUGUAAUUGAAGAGCCAUUGUUUUCAAGUGAUCCUAAUCCACUUAAUACUAAAUAUUUUGCUCCUACCAAAUUAGAUAUUUCUGAUGUAAGAUCAGACUAAGCCGCAACCAUAGUGUAUACUUAUAAUUUAAAUUAUAAGAAAUUAUUCUAACACUAAAAGCUACGCCUAACAACUAGGCUCUGAUACCACUCACUGGGAAAAUUGCUAUUUUCCCAGAUCGGCUUCAAGCAGUAACAAAUGAGAAAAUAAAAAUAAUGACUGAGAAAUUAAACAGAACACGGUAGUUUAACGUGGAAAACUCUCCAAGUAGAGAAAAACCCCCGACCGUUGCCAAAUGACAACAAAAAAAAAAUUUACUAUGCGGCAAAUUGUUACAACCACAAUUACAAAAUAUUUUUCUACCCGACACCCUCAAAACACCCCAAAUAUUUUAUACUCCAAAGGACACCAAAAGACUUACAAUAAAUCCCUAAUAUAAAACACAUUCAAGUGUUUUUAGAAACCUAAACUGUGGCUUCUUUUUAUAGCCAAUUCAAACACCCUCAAAACUCAAUCUUCCCGACGUGGAAUUGAGCACAACCAAUUUUUUUUCAUAUUUUUUUUUCUUUUGUUUUCAACAAAGGAGGCUAACAAUAUCCAUUACAACUACUUUUUGGUACUUUUUUACAGAAAAAAAUAUAACAAAUUACAAAAAAUCAGAAACAAACUAGUUAAUAUAAAAUUGUCGUAAGGUGAAUGGGAUUGCUGGUUACUUAGUUACCUAUGAAGAUUUUCAGUUGUUUGGAGUUCAGGUGCUUCAAGAUCAGCCUCCUGGUGUUCGACAACUUUUACAUCCUAAUUUAUUUGGGGCUAUCUGGUCUCGUGUAAUUAUUUAAAGGGUUUGAAUUCCCUCAUUUGCAGUUAAAAAAAAAUAUUGAGAUGAAAUAGUUAAUUUCCCAAAAUAAUAUUACGAGUAUCGAGGGGAGGGUAAAAAAAAAAAUUAGUUUAACGAUUGCAAAAUAUAGGGAAUAUUAAUGUAUGUUUUGACGAAGUUAUCAGAAAAAAGCACUAAUUUUUCCUAAUAAUUAUUAACAAUAGCUGUCGUUUUGCAUGAGCCUGCCGUGUAAUGAUGAGUUACACAUCGGAAAAGUAGUAACUGUCGUUGUUCUGGAAGCAAUAGCAUACGCAAAAGUGAAACACACAAAUGGGCUUAUGCCCAUUUAAGGGCCCAUUUAAAAUAGACAGAGAACAAAGUACUAAAUUGGAAACAAAAUGUAUUAUUAGUAAUAUGAAAAAAACAAAACAGACAAAUUAAGGACAAGGACUUACUGAAACAUGUUUAUCGAAUCUUAACUCCCAUAAUAGCACAAAUCAGCUCUACUUGAGCAAAUGUAUAGUAAGUAUUCUAUAGCUAACAAGAAACAACUAGGAAAAGAAUUACAUACAAGCAUCACAUCUGAUGACCAGCACGCAUGAACCAAUGAAACUGAGAUGUCCAACUUUCAGAAGUUCUUAGCCGUUUCAUGCCACUACUUUCCAAAUCAUACAUGCUUGCAUGCUUAAAUCCACACCAAAUAUCAGAACAUCCUUCAAAGGAAUCAUGAAUAUAGUAUAUGCAAUUAGAUCUUGGAAGUUCUGCUCCUUUUGGGCUCAUAUUAUUCCCUGUUUUCGAUGAUGAUACUGAUAUGCAACCAUCAUAACCAAGAAACAGUGCUUCAUUGCCCAAAGUUUCAAUCUUUUUCAAUUCUUUAGUACCCAAAUCAACUUUAUACACAUCAAAUGAUGUUCCAAUUCCAUCUUCUCUACCACCACCACCAUCAUCAUCAUCAAUUACCCACUUCCAUUUUCUAUUAAUCAUCAAGAAAUCACCAGAUAAUGACUCCACUAGGUACUUUUCCAUUUGGUUAAGAUGAAAUGGAGGUUCAAGAGCUACAACUGUCUUUGGAUUUGGUCCAAGAUCGCAACCAUAAAUUUUGCCUUUAAUAUCAGUGGCAUAAAAUUGACCCUUAAAGAACAUAAUAUCAUCAAAAGAAACUUCCUGCAAAUCCUGUAAAGAUUUCCAUUCUUCAUCCCCUGGUCUACAGAAGGCUAAUUUCCUUUCUAAAUCCAGCCCAUAAAUGACCAAAACAAUGCAAUUUGGAUCUAAAGGGCUUAAUGAUGAUGUAAUGCACCUCUUUACAAAACCCUCAGUUUGUUUAAUUAUUUGGCAAUUGAAUUUAGGGAAUUUACUUGCUAAUGGAAGCAAGACUUCAGUUCUUGAAAUUGGAUUCCAGAGAUUUACCUUGUAUGGUGAAUAAUAGCCUAUUGUUAGUAACCACCCAUUUGUUGAAUUACAAACCAACCGAUCUUUUGUCUUUGGUAGAAAAAUUUCCUGUGUUUCUCCUGUCAAAAUAUCGCACAAAUUGCCCAUUUCUUCUUCUCUGUUUAGUAUCAGAAGCAAUGGAAAAUGAAUUUGAUCCCAAUAAAAUCGGGUAGCUACUGAUCUCCAACAACUACAGACAUUGCAACACCGAAAAACAUCUAAUGGAUUAUUUAGACGGCUCAAUAUUUGCUCGAGAAGCCCGUUGGGCAUAUCGGACCAAGAAGAAGAAGACGAAGAAAUGGCCAUUGAUGUAUCAAAACAAGUUCUUGAUUUCAGGAUUCAAUUUAUCAAGAAUUUAGGAAAGAGGGGUUUAGGGAGUAUCUGAGAAUUUCUAAUCAUGGAACGCUGACUAAUCUUUAUAUCAGAUCAGACACGAACCAAGAAGAAUAAGAAUUGAAGAAGGGUUUUUAUAGUUAGCUGGAGAUAUGGUACCGGCUCAGUUGGUACUAUCUAAAAGCCCGGUCUUUUAUACCAGGUAACCGAAACUCGAACUGAUUUCUAAUUCUUCUGCACCGAGCACCGAAGCUGAGGUUAAUAUGUCUUUCCUUUCUGUUUCUACUACAAUGACUUCUUUUUAGUGUAAGAAAGAAUCUUGCUGCCUUAUUUUCUUUUUUUUUUUUCCACAAAAAAAUUGCUUCGAAUUGACGAUUUCUUUUUUAUUUGUUAGAUGAGGAUUUCAUUUUCAAAUGGUGCUAAAACUAGCGUUUAUAUUAUUGUUUGGUGUUCAAAUCUAGUUUCUCAAGACAGGAAAAUUUUCCCCUUCACAAUUUUUGGAUAGCAUGCAUGUUUCCAUAUGCCAAUUUCCACUUCGAUUCUAAAUUUUAGACCAUUCUCUUCUUCAUAAGUUGGGAUCGCGGAAAGCCCAAGUCAAAAGUUUAGAUACCAAACAAUGCCAAAUUUGUAUAAUCUAACAGGAAGUAUAAUCACUCCUGCUGGAAACAUCCUCAUCAAAGAAGUUCAACGCUUCAGAAUAAAAAAAGAAGAGUGGUUAAAAACAUACCAACCGUUACAUUUUGCAAGAACAAAUGGAACCAUGUCGAUUUGCAUAACAGAAAAAAGGAAUCGCAAAUUUAAGUCUCAAGAAGCAAACAAGCUUUCAUUAACUUUAUGAAACCAGAGAAGGUACCACACUUCACAUAUCUUAGCUAUUUUGCCAACAAAGUUCAGAAAAUAUAGGCUGCAUGUGUAACUGAAGAGCCAUUGUUUUCCAGUGAUCCUAAUCCACUUAAUACUAAAUAAUUUGCUCCUACCAAAUUAACAAACUCAUCGAGCGAUUACAUUAGGCAAUAGUGCCACCUGUUUGGUGCAGCAUUGCGUCUAUCUCAUCCCCAUCCUCCAUUUCCAACUGCAGCAACAAAAUGUUAGAAAUAGGUUAGAAAGUAGAAACAACAAACUUAAACAAUAGUCUGACCCAUGCAAAUACACUCUAAGAGAGACAAACCUCAUCUGGUGUCUGCUCUCCACGAAGCCGGCGACCAUCAAAUAAAAAUGCAAUAGAGUUGAACUCCACUGACUGUCGAUCACAGUAAGCAUUCAUGAGCUUCUUCAGUUGAGUGCUUCUCUUAAUCCUGAAGAAGACUUCAUUGCCAUCCUACAAAAUGAAGUCAAAUUUCCAGCUCUAACUAAGGCCUUGUUUGCUAUAAUUUUGUGGAAUUCAUUUGAAAUUUCAUCUUUUCAUGUUUGGUAUGAACGAAAAUAUCAAUUUUAGUAGUGUUAUCCUGAUGAAUUCAAUUUUAUAGAAUUCUGCAUAACUAAAGCAAAUACUCCAACCUACCAUGUGUGACAAAGCAUACAUCUAGUUUUCAAAAGGAAAAUCUAGACUAAGUCGAAACUCUCAUAAAAGUUGAACAAAAUAAUAGAAAACAUAGAAGUUUAGUGAUGCAUAAUGAACACUUGCAGUGCCGAAGCCUAUAUGGAUUUUU
rnacentral:lncRNA from 1 species